ACGCGAGGAACCUUACCAGGUCUUGACAUCCUCUGACACUCCUAGAGAUAGGACGUUCCCCUUCGGGGGACAGAGUGACAGGUGGUGCAUGGUUGUCGUCAGCUCGUGUCGUGAGAUGUUGGGUUAAGUCCCGCAACGAGCGCAACCCUUGAUCUUAGUUGCCAGCAUUCAGUUGGGCACUCUAAGGUGACUGCCGGUGACAAACCGGAGGAAGGUGGGGAUGACGUCAAAUCAUCAUGCCCCUUAUGACCUGGGCUACACACGUGCUACAAUGGAUGGUACAAAGGGCAGCAAAGCGGUGACGCCUAGCAAAUCCCAUAAAACCAUUCUCAGUUCGGAUUGUAGGCUGCAACUCGCCUACAUGAAGCUGGAAUCGCUAGUAAUCGCGGAUCAGCAUGCCGCGGUGAAUACGUUCCCGGGCCUUGCACACACCGCCCGU
rnacentral:rRNA from 1 species